ensembl:lncRNA
AUGACCCUCAGGGAAAUCCCCCAGGCUUCUGAGUUUGGAGUCCAGGAUCCAAAUCUCAGCUCUACCGCUCGCCACUCUUGUGAUCUCAAGGAAGUUCUUCACUUCUCUGAGCCUCAGUUUUCCAACUGUAAUCUUGGGAAGUUGAUUCCAUUAUCAUCUCAUUUCACAGAUGAGGAACUGAAACCACAAAGCUCUACUAACUAACCUGGCCAAGAGCACACAAUUCAUCAACGACAGAGUUGGGAUUUGAACCUAGAUAGCAUGAUCCAGAGCUAGUGUAAUUUACUGCAACAACAAGAAUGACAAUGAAAACAAUACAAAUCGAAAUCUACGUAUACUCAGAGAAAAUGCAGCCAGGAAUGCAUAUUUUAAAAAUAAGAAAAGAUUGCCUAGAAAUAAAUCAUGUUUAAAGCUUAAAAAGCUAGUGGAAAAAAAUACAUAAAGUGGAAGCAAGGAUAUUACUAAAGGAAAAAAACAAAUGAAUAAAAUGUGGGAGGUUGGGGUGGGAUAAAUUUGUAAAAAAUUAAGAGAUGAUUUUUUUCAAAAUAACCAAAAAUGUCAAAAGUCUGCAAUGUCUGACCAAGGUUAAAAAAAAAAGAGAGUUGGCCGGGCUCGGUGGCUCACGCCUAUAAUCCCAGCACUUUGGGAGGCCAAGGCGGGUGGAUCACGAGGUCAAGAGAUUGAGUCCAUCCUGGUCAACAAGGUGAAGCCCCGUCUUUACUAAAAAUACAAAAAUUAGCUGGGCAUGGUGGUGCGUGCCUGAAGUCCCAGCUACUUGGGAGGCUGAGGCAGGAGAAUUGCUUGAACCCAGGAGGUGGAGGUUGCGGUGAGCUGAGAUUGUGCCAUUGCACUCCAGUCUGGGUAAGAACAGCAAAACUCCAUCUCAAAAAAAAAAAAAAAGAGAGUUAUCAGCUUUAGAAAUUAGAAGGGAAUAUAAUUAUAGGUAUGAAAUAGAUUUUGAAAAGUUUGCGGUGGAAUACUGAAUCUAAACUAAUUUUUAUUUAUUUAUUUAUUUAUUUGUUCAUUUUUUAAAAACUUUUAAGUUCAUGGGUCCAUGUGCAAGAUGUGCAGUUUUGUUACAUACGUAAAUGUGUGCUUUGGGGGUUUGUUGUACAGAUUACUUCAUUGCCCAGGUAUUAAGCCUUGUGUUCAUUGCUUAUGUUUUUUGAUCCUCUCUCUCUUAUCACCCUCUGCCCCCCCAUAGGCUCUCGUGUGUAUUGCUCCCCACUAUGUGUCCAUGUGUUCUCAUUAUUUAGCUCCCACUUAUAAGUGAGAACAUAUAGUAUUUGAUUUUCUGCUCCUGCAUUUGUUUGUUAAGGAUAGUGGCCUCCAGCUCCAUUCAUGUCCCUGCAAGGGACAUGAUCUCAUUCCUUUUUAUGGCUGCAUAGUAUUCCGUAGUGUAUAUGUACUGCAUUAUCUUUACCCAGUCUAUCAUUGAUGGAUAUCUAGGUUGAUUCCAUGUCUUUGCUAUUGUGAACAGUGCUGCAAUAAACAUACAUGCAUAUGUGUUUUUAUAAUAGAAUGAUUUAUUAAUAUAUUCCUCUGGGUAUAUACCCACUAAUGAGAUUGUUAGGUCAAAUGUUAUUUCUGUUUCUAGGUCUUUGAGGAAUCAUCACACUGUCUUCCACAAUUGUUGAACUCAUUUAUACUCCCAUCUACAGAUAAGAGUUUCUCCACAACUUCACCAGCAUAUAUUAUUUUUUGACUUUGUAAUAAUUGUUCUGAUUAAUGUGAGAUGAUAACACAUUGUGGCUUUGGUUUGCAUUUCUCUUAUGAUCAGUUAUGUUGAGCUUUUUUAUAUGUUUGUUGGCUGCAUGAAUGUCUUCUUUUGAGAAGUGUCUGUUUAUGUCCUUUGCCCACUUUUUAAUAGGAUUAUUUGUUUUUCUUGUAAAUUUGUUUAAGGUCCUUGUAGAUGCUGGAUAUUAGAUCUUUGUCAGAUGCAUAAUUGCAAAAUUUUCUCCCAUUCUGCUGGUUUUCUGUUUUCUCUGUUGACAGUUUCUUUUGCUGUCCAGAGGCUCCUUAGUUUAAUUAGAUUCCAUUUGUCAGUUUUUGCUUUUGUUGGAAUUGAUUUUGACAUCUUCAUCAUGAAAUCUU